rnacentral:tRNA from 1 species
GCGGGCAUAGCUCAGUCUGGUAGAGCACGAGCUUCCCAAGCUCGGUGUCGAGGGUCCGAAUCCCUUUGCCCGCUCCA